rnacentral:rRNA from 1 species
AUUGAACGCUGGCGGCAGGCCUAACACAUGCAAGUCGAACGAGUGGCGGACGGGUGAGUAAUGUCUGGGAAACUGCCUGAUGGAGGGGGAUAACUACUGGAAACGGUCGCUAAUACCGCAUACCAUCGGAUGUGCCCCGAUGGGAUUAGCUUGUUGGUGGGGUAAUGGCUCACCAAGGCGACGAUCCAUAGCUGGUCUGAGAGGAUGACCAGCCAAACUGGAACUGAGACACGGUCCAGAAUCCUACGGGAGGCAGCAGUGGGGAAUAUUGCACAAUGGGCGCAAGCCUGAUGCAGCCAUGCCGCGUGUAUGAAGAAGGCCUUCGGGUUGUAAAGUACUUUCAGCGGGGAGGCGUUACCCGCAGAAGAAGCACCGGCUAACUCCGUGCCAGCAGCCGCGGUAAUUC